UUCCGGUUGAUCCUGCCGGACCCGACCGCUAUCGGGGUAGGGCUAAGCCAUGCGAGUCGCGCGCCCGGGGGCGCCCGGGAGCGGCGCACGGCUCAGUAACACGUGCCCAACCUACCCUCGGGAGGGGGACACCCCCGGGAAACUGGGGCCAAUCCCCCAUAGGGGAAGGGCGCUGGAAGGCCCCUUCCCCAAAAGGGGUUGCGGCCGAUCCGCCGCAGCCCGCCCGAGGAUGGGGGCACGGCCCAUCAGGUAGUUGGCGGGUUAAAGGCCCGCCAAGCCGAAGACGGGUAGGGGCGGUGAGAGCCGCGAGCCCCGAGAUCGGCACUGAGACAAGGGCCGAGGCCCUACGGGGUGCAGCAGGCGCGAAUACUCCGCAAAUGGGGAGAGGCCGGCCCCUCAGUUUUCUCAUGAAGGACGCCCAUCGGUUUGAUUUAAGCGAAGUGGUAUAUUCGAAAUUUGACAAAAAGCGUGGUAUACGGAUUCCGGAGGAGCCCUCGGAGCUCCUAGCAGAGGAGACGGCGAUUCAUCUAGGAGAUGGGUAUCUAUUCUACGACGAAAAAGAUCGGAGCUACAGGUUCGGCAUAGGCCUCAAUCCGAAGACGGAAAUGAGCUACGCAUACGCGGUGGCGGAGCUCAUAGGACAGCUCUACGGCUACAUGCCGCCGGUGAGAGGAGCGCGUAUUGAAAUAAUGUCGCUAGCCAUAGGGACGUUCAAGCAUAAAGUCCUCGCCUUACCUAUUGGCACCAGAACCGGAGGCGAGGAUCUUCCGAGGAUCGAGUGGGUUUUAACAGAUGAGAGGUUUAUUACGGCGUUUGUACGCGGGCUUGUCGAUACGGAGGGCUCAGUAAAAAAGAUCUCAAGGACGAUAGGUGUCGUCGUAAAACAGAGGAAUAGGAAAAUAAUCGAGUUCUAUGCCCAAUGCCUCGCGGCCUUGGGAUUCCGGUCAAGGAUAUAUGUAUGGAACGAGAGAAACAAACCCAUAUAUGUCUCGGCGUUGUUGGGCAAAGAAGUCGUGGAACAAUUCAUACAACUUAUCAAGCCGAGAAACCCCUCAAAAUAUCCUCCUUUUUAGCUCCCACCCCUCGCCGGCCCUCCCCAGCGGAAUGCGGGCAACCGCGACGGGGCUACCCCGAGUGCCGGGCGAAGAGCCCGGCUUUUGCCCGGUCUAAAACGCCGGGCGAAUAAGCGGGGGGCAAGUCUGGUGUCAGCCGCCGCGGUAAUACCAGCCCCGCGAGUGGUCGGGGUGUUUACUGGGCUUAAAGCGCCCGUAGCCGGCCCGGCAAGUCGCUCCUGAAAUCCCCGGGCCCAACCCGGGGGCGGGGGGCGAUACUGCCGGGCUAGGGGGCGGGAGAGGCCGCCGGUACUCCGGGGGUAGGGGCGAAAUCCGUUAAUCCCCGGAGGACCACCAGUGGCGAAAGCGGGCGGCCAGAACGCGCCCGACGGUGAGGGGCGAAAGCCGGGGGAGCAAACCGGGCCAAGGCCGGCAAAAAUUUAAAAAAGCCCCAAGGUCUCGAUAUGGGGUGCGAUCGUUAUGAGGUGCUAAGAGUUGUGCCUUUCGUUCUAUCGGACGGGGGAGUAUACAAUAACAGGGAGAUCUAUUUCACAUCAACAGACGCCGCCUUGGUUAGCCACUUCAGAACUGUUGCAACGGUUGCGUUUGGCUACGGAGGCUACGUUGUGAAGCGGAGCAACGGGGCAUAUGUGGUGAAGAUAAAGGGCUAUGACUACUUCAAAUGUCUAGCCGAGGUUAUGCCAGACAUAUUAUAUAAGAACGAUAAAGGCCGCGCCAUUAGGUUGCCGGACGAGCUAUACAGCGACAAGGAUCUAGCCAAGUGGUUCAUAAAGGUAUAUGUCUCAUGCGACGGCGGUGUAUCGGUCAUGUUGGGUAGAAGAGGCAAUAUCACGUUUUACGUCAGAAGAGUAUCCAUAACAUCCAAAAACCCAUAUCUACGGCGCCAGAUCGGGGAUUUGCUCAAAGCCUUAAGCUUUGCGCCGCGAGAUGAUGGCGAUAAACACAUCUACCUAUCACGAAGAGAGGACAUAGUUAGAUACGCAGAAGAGAUAAGAUUUCUAGAGCAGGUAAAGGUAACGAAAAAUUCCAAAAGAUUCCGCGGAAUGGAGAAAAACCAGCUCCUAGAUUUAGUCGUGCGAUCCUACGGAAAUCCCCACCUGUUAGACCCCUUUUUUCCACCAUCAUCUUUCUCCCACAACGCCGGCCUAGCCCGGGCUCAAAGGGGAUUAGAUACCCCUGUAGUCCCGGCCGUAAACGAUGCGGGCUAGCUGUCGGUCGGGCUUAGGGCCCGGCCGGUGGCGAAGGGAAACCGUUAAGCCCGCCGCCUGGGGAGUACGGCCGCAAGGCUGAAACUUAAAGGAAUUGGCGGGGGGGCACCACAAGGGGUGAAGCUUGCGGCUUAAUUGGAGUCAACGCCGGAAACCUCACCCGGGGCGACAGCAGGAUGAAGGCCAGGCUAACGACCUUGCCGGACGAGCUGAGAGGAGGUGCAUGGCCGUCGUCAGCUCGUGCCGUGAGGUGUCCGGUUAAGUCCGGCAACGAGCGAGACCCCCGCCCCUAGUUGCUACCCCGUCCUACGGGACGGGGGGCACACUAGGGGGACUGCCGGCGUAAGCCGGAGGAAGGAGGGGGCCACGGCAGGUCAGUAUGCCCCGAAACCCCGGGGCUGCACGCGAGCUGCAAUGGCGGGGACAGCGGGAACCGACCCCGAAAGGGGGAGGCAAUCCCGUAAACCCCGCCCCAGUAGGGAUCGAGGGCUGCAACUCGCCCUCGUGAACGUGGAAUCCCUAGUAACCGCGUGUCACCAACGCGCGGUGAAUACGUCCCUGCCCCUUGCACACACCGCCCGUCGCACCACCCGAGGGAGCUCCCUGCGAGGCCCCUUGCCGAAAGGUGGGGGGACGAGCAGGGGGCUCCCAAGGGGGGUGAAGUCGUAACAAGGUAACCGU
rnacentral:rRNA from 1 species